rnacentral:misc_RNA from 1 species
AACGCACCUUGCGCUCCUUGGUAUUCCGAGGAGCAUGCCUGUUUGAGUGUCAUUAAAUUCUCAACCCCAGCGGUUCGUUGGGGCUUGGACUUGGAGCGUGCUGGCGAAGGUCGGCUCCUCUUUAAAUGCAUCAGCGGAAAACGGAACUUUCCCUUCGGCGUGAUAAUAUCGUUGCGUCGUGGUGGGUCGGUUAAAGAGUCCCGCUUACAAUCGUCCUCGGACAAAAAUAAAAAACAUCUGUUUUGACCUCAGAUCAGGUAGGACUACCCGCUGAACUUAA